rnacentral:lncRNA from 1 species
UAAAAUAAACGCUUUAUAAAUAUUGUUAAGAAUUUUUACAAUGUUAAUCAAUCAAUAAAUCGUUAAAAUUAUUUGAUUUUAAUUAUAUCUAUGCUUACUACGCAGAAUCUUCAUUCCCUCAUAACUACUUGUUGGCAUUGUAUCAUUCACAACAAAUAAAAGGAGAUGCAGUUUAUGAGAUUGAUCCAACCAAAGAUAUUGAAGCUUCUGAAGCCUAUCCUGAUGUCACAUACACCACUGCUGAUGAAUAUUUGAAUCAAUUUGUCUAAGUUUGUCAUCCCGGAAAUGUUAAAUAAGACAAAGAUUAUUUUUUCUUAAUAGUUUCACAUGUUGUACCACAUCAAUUAUAUUGUUAGUUGUCCUUGUUGUCUUGUUCUCAAUAAACCUUCCAAUUGAUGUAAUAUUUUACAAAAAUAAUAAUAUUGUAUUGUUCUAUUGUUUGCACAUUUGUGUCACUAGUAUCACUCUAUUAUUUUGUUGUUGCCCGUGAAUGGGUGACUCAAUAAAUUAUUUAAUACCCACGUCAGGAUGGACCGAUCUACCGUAUGAAGCAAUAUUUGUUUGGUCUCGGUUAUAAAUUUAAAUUAUUUACACACAUGCAAAAGAAAAAAAGUAGAAAGAAUGAACCAAUAUUUUUUUAUUUUAUUUUUAUGGGGGUGUUUGUUUGGGAGAUAAAAAAUAUAUUCCUGGGUAUAAGGGCAUUAAAUAUGAUAUUCCUAUGUUUGGUAGAAGGGAACAAAAAUAAUAUACCCAGGAAUAAAUGAUUCCCAGGAAUCUUAUUUACCCGUUGACUCUCUAUUUUUAUUCCCGGGGGUGGGGGGCUGGAAUCUUCAAUUCCUGAGAAUGAAAUCUCCACAUUCAUGACGAAAACCCACCCAUACCCCUAUUUUACCCACGCUUCUUCCCUCCUAAUUUUUCCCACGCGUUUUCUAAAUUAAUAGAAACCCACAUAUAUAUAAACCCCUCUUUGCUCUCUCUUUUCACUCAUCUGGAUCCAGAUCCAUCCAUAACAGGUUUGUGUCUUAUGUUUUGUUUUGUUUUUUGCGUUUUUUUAACUGCUGGACAGAUUCUCGGCCUGCCAGGCUGCUGUACCAGCGGAGCUGGGCCGCGCAAAUGCGAGUUUCGGUGACUGACAUUCGAGCGGGCAUCCACCAUUCUGUUGCUGUUGCAUGUCAAAGGUGUUGGGCAGUCUGCCAACCUUCAAUUAAAUGGCGUGUAACAACUUGAAACAGGGUACUCUUGUUAUGUAUUAAAAAACAAGUAUAUACCCUGACCAAUACCUUUGUUGACUCGCAUAAUUUACUUUGCUUGAUUAAAAAUAACAUGAAAAAUAUUAUUUUUCAUCAAUUUAAUGUAAAAGGGUAUUUUAAUAAUUUUGACAUUUAUUCCUGGGAUUAUACAUUUUAAACCAAACAUAUUUUUAGUAUUCCCAGGAAUUUAGAAAGAAAGUUCCAAGGAAUUCAAAUUGGUAACCAAACACUUUUUUAAAAUAUUCCUAGGAAUAUAAUUCCAAGGAAUAUAUUCCUGGGAAAAUUAUUCCAGGGAAUAAUUUUUGCAUCUGUGAAACAAACGGCCCCUAUAUUAUUGAAAUAAGUGCCCUAAAGGCAUUUGUUAGCAUUCUCCUUAAAAUAAUUAUAUGAUGUGUAUUUUGAUUGUGCACUUAAAUGAUUUGAAUUUGUGGUUGUGACUAUAUAAAAAUUAUUCGACGGCAUGAUCAACAGACCGUGUGAACAAUUGAAAUAUAUUAAAUAAUCAUGUUCAGACAUCCCUUACUUGUAGAGGUGUCAAAUGGACUGGACAACCCAGUUCGGCUUAAGAGUUUUGACUACAUAAAUGAACCAGUCUGACCAAGCCCAUUUGUAAUUGGGCCGCAUAAAAUAUAAUUGAAUGGAUAUAGAAGUAUAAAUAUUUUUUACAUUACCAUUAAAUACUAAUUAAACUCUAGAUUUAUUUCUUCAAUUGAAUCAAAUUAAUACUACAUCCGUCCAUAAUUAUAGGAUCCUUUUGAAAAAUAACAGGAAUUAAGAAAAUUAAAAGUGAUAAUAAAUUUGUUUUUAAUUACAAUUGUUUUUACAAAUUUGUCUUUUAAGAGUGGGUUAGUCCGUUAAUGUAUGUUUACAAUGUAGUAUUUAAUGAUGAUUGAAGAAAAAGAUAUACAAUAAAUAGGGGUAUGGUGGUAAAGAAUUAAUUAAUAUAUUUGGAAAUAGCAAAGAGAUUUUUAUAAAAAGAGACAAAAAAAUUCUCAAAAGGGUCCUAUAAUUAGGGACAGAGACAGUAGUUUAUAAACUUUAGAAUUUUAAAACUUUGAACUAAAUUUAUGCAUUUUUAUUAAGUUGACUUAUUUCAAUAUAUUUUAUUAAUAAAUUUUUAAAGUAGUUGAUAAUGUUUUUAAAAAAUAUAGCGUUUUUUAACAAAAAUAAAAUAAAAGUAUAGAUAGUAGGUCGGUCCGAAGUCCGAUAGGUUAGCCUGACUCGGCCCCAUUUUCAUAUGGAUCAAAUGAGCUAAGGUAAAAAAAAAUACGAGAGUAUUUUUAGUUAGGUUUGUGGUUCGGCCCAAAAUGUGUCAUUUUUUAUGUCUCUACUUACUAGCCAUCUCACCAUUAACAACGAUUUGUCAACUAAACAAUGUCAUCUUCUUUUCUAUUAAAGUUAACCCGGAAGCCCUAAUUUUAACCUAAACUAUAUUGCAUAAAUUUACUGUUUUAACCCUAAUGCUUAAUUCCUUUGUUUAAUCCUAUUAACCCUAUUUCUUGGUUGAAACAAAUUGAACCUAAUCUCCUAUUUUCUUGAAUAAAACAAAUUGGCCCUAUUUCUUCAACAAAACAAAUCGCUUUAUUUCUUGCUUUAAAAAAGAAACAACAACUCAAGUUGGGAUACUCUACUUGACCUAGAAGAGAAAUAACGGAAAGAAGAACUUGCCUUUUUGAGAACUUAUUGUCGGAACUCGGAAGCAAUGGUGAUCUGCUAAGUUUAUGGCGAGUUCGAUUGAUUAUGAGCUGCUAAGUUCGAUUGAGUAAGAGUUCGAUUGAUUAUGAGUUGCGAAGUUCCAUUGAGUAACAGGCAACAAAUCCUUCUUCUCAUGGCGGUAGGGAUGAGAGAUUUUGCUUACAACAAAUUAAUGGCAUGAUCAUAGGAAAGAGAUUUUAGUUUCUAGGUUUAGUAAGAACAAUGGGAUGAGAAAUGAUGAGGUAGAGUUGCAUGUGAAGAUAUGAUGAGGGAGAUAAAGAUGUUGAUAGGUUUUGGAAUAGGAAAGUAAUUUUUAUGAGAGAGGUUGACUACAGCUAUAAAAUAAAUGAUAAUUAUAUUUAUUUGAUACUUCCUAAAUGUUGUUACUUGAGAGUUAAAACGAUCUCUUUCCUGUG